GGGUCUGUAGCUCAAGUGGUAGAGCAUUUGCCUUGAGCAAAAGAAGCUCAGGGACAGCACCCAGGCCCA
rnacentral:tRNA from 1 species